UUGCUAAUAGAAGCCAGUUGAUUCUUCCACAGUAAAUUCGUGCCCAGAUCCUAGAGCACAAAUAAGUCAGUGUAUUAUUUAUGUUUUUUUAUUUAGGCAAAAACAGAGGGAGAGAUGAGAAGAAGUAAAUGCGUGAGACAGCCAUCUAAGAGAAUGUUGUUGUAUUCUCAGGACACAGAUUCAGAUUCAAGUCUACAGAAGAGUUAAGGAAAACGUCCUGCCAGAAAGUUGAUACAUUAGCAACAAUAACUAAGUGGUGCUCUUGUCACAGAUGCCCACAAAACGAGAGAGUGGAAGAUCGAGUUUGCUGUGGGAUGGUCCCAGAAUUAUGCUCAAGUCACAGACCUGAGAUGACUCUUUCGGUGCUGGAUAGGAUGACCCUCUACAGUCAGCAGCAGUAUCAACAAGAUGUGUUUUCCUUUUAUGCAGAGACACUAGAAGAUGUCAAUAAAUCUUUCAGACAUGCUGCAUACAGACAAUUUACCAUCUUAAUGCAUGAGAAUAACUGUCCCAGCAUGUUGUGUUAAAUUAAUAAGGGAGAAGUUUCCUAGUCCUUAAGGCCAGUAUACAGGCUUCGUACCAGGUGAAGGCCCAGUGUUCUAAUAAUUUUGCAUAUUUAUGCCCCCCUUCGAAGAAGAGGGGGUAUAUAGUUUUGCACAUGUCGGUCCGUCCACCAGAUGGUUUCGGGAUGAUUACUUAAGAACGCUUAGGCCUAGGAUCAUGAAACUUCAUAGGUACAUUGAUCAUGACUGGCAAAUAACCCCUAUUGAUUUUCAGGUCACUAGGUCAAAGGUCAGUGACUCGAAACAGUAAAGCGGUUUCCGGAUGAUAACUCAAGAAUGCAUACGCCUAGGAUCUUGAAACUUCAUAGGUACAUUGAUCACGACUGGCAGAGGACCCCUUUAGAUUUUCUGGUCACAAGGUCAAGGUCACAGUGACUCAAAACAAUAAAAUGGUUUCCAGCUGAUAACUCAAGAAUGCUUACGCCUUUUGAUCAUGAAACUUCAUAGCUACAUUGAUAAUGACUGGCAGAUGACCCCUUUUAAUUUUCAGGUCACUAUGUCAAAGGUCAAGGUCACAGUGACAAAAAACGUAUUAACACAAUAGCUGCCACUACAACUGACAGCCCAUAUGGGGGGCAUGCAUGUUUUACAAACAGCCCUUGUUGCUAUUCUUUUUCAUUUAUCAGACAUAGAACUUUUCUUAGUUUUGAUUAUUUUUUGUUCUGGCUCCUUUUUUGAAACAUUUAUAUUUAUGCAAAUCAUUUGAGUUAUGCUUAAUCAUUUGGAUUUUUCAGUUGUAUGCAUUUUGUUUUGAAAAAUCAAUUUGUGUGAAAUGUGCUAGUUUAUUAUUAAAACUUGCACAGCAGUUUUUACAUUUGUAUGCUUACUUUGGUGUCAUUUGAAUGAAAUGCCACGAGUACUCUGGAUUGUAAGAUGAAAGAAAUAAAAGAAGCAAUGACAUAUUUCUUAAGAAUACUAUGUAAAUAAACUAAUUGAAAAUCAAAAUUCAUUUCUUGUAUACUUAUUUUAUUUUCUUGUUUGAACUUAAUAGUUUGAUUUUUACACUUUUUAGCUCACCUGAACACAAUGUGCUCAUGGUGAGCUUUUGUGAUCGCCUUUUGUCCGUCGUGCGGCGUCUACAUUUGCCUUGUUAACACUCUACAGCCGUAAAAUAAAGAUUGGUCUCAAGGAUAUUUUGGAUGAGUUCAAAAAUGGUAACGUUUGCUUGAAAAGACCGUUCAUAAAAAAACAGUCAAUUGUGUAUUACCUGUUUUUAUU